rnacentral:rRNA from 1 species
CCUACGGGAGGCAGCAGUGAGGAAUAUUGGUCAAUGGUCGGGAGACUGAACCAGCCAAGCCGCGUGAGGGAGGAAGGUACAGAGUAUCGUAAACCUCUUUUGUCAGGGAACAAAGACUGGGACGCGUCCCCGGAUGCGUGUCCCUUAAGAAAAAGCAUGGGCUAACUCCGUGCCAGCAGCCGCGGUAAUACGGAGGAUGCGCGCGUUAUCCGGAUUUAUUGGGUGUAAAGGGUGCGGAGGCGGGCCUGUAAGUAAGGCGGCAAAUCCCGGGGCUUAAACCCGGGCCUGCGGUUGAUACGGGCAGUCUCGAGUUGGAGAGAGGUAUGCGGAAUGCGCGGUGUAGCGGUGAAAUGCAUAGAUAU